UCCUUCCCUUCCGGAGCCCGGGGUAGGCGAGAAGCAGGCAAGGGCGCGGAGGGAAGAAUCGGGAGGGCGGCCAGAGCACGAUGGAAUCUCGCUCUGUCUCCCAGGCUGAAGUGCAAUGACGCAAUCUCGGCUCAAUGCAGCCUCCGCCUCCCAGGUUUAAGCGAUUAUCCCGCCUCAGUCUCACAAGUAGCUGGGAUUACAGGUGCCCACCACCACGCCCAGAAGUGCAUUUUGCCUCCUGCCAUGAUUCUGAGGCCUCCCCAGCCCUGUGAAACUGUAAGUCCAAUUAAACCUCUUUUUCUUCCCAGUCUGAGGUAUGUCUUUAUCAGCAUCAUGAAAACGGACUAAUAUACUAUUCUUAAUUGAUAUGCCCGCACAAAUAUAGAGACACAUAGCAACAUAUAUACACAAAAUGCAAACAAAAUUGCUUGCAGCUUUAAGUAGAUCUAAGUAUACUUUUCCUUCUUCAGUGGGAACAAAGGUGUUGUAAUUG
ensembl:lncRNA novel transcript, antisense to KITLG